GUCUGGAAAAAGGUCAAUAAUUCUCCUCUGAAGUGUGUUAUUCUGUUUGAGGGGUAUUCUCAAGGUACGUGAAAGUUGUUUCAUUGUAAAGAUAAAUCAAUUACCGACAGACUGGUGUACUUUUAUUUGUGAAAAAAUCAAGGGAAAUUAAAAAAAUAUUGGUUGAAGCGAACACAUUGAAAAUUUCCGUUAGCUACCUUGUGUUUUUUUGUACUGGUAUGGAUAGU
rnacentral:lncRNA from 1 species